UACAGAGUUGAAAAACUCCCUAAACCCACUGUAAACCUACCUAUGUCGUUGCUUCGGCGGGCAGCCCCAGGGCGGGGCCCAGGCCACUUUACAGGUGCUCGCCGAUGGCUGUCACAGCAAACUCUUUUAUUAUUUUCAGGUACUCUGAGUGAUGACAAAAUCAGUUAAAAACUUUCAACAACGGAUCUCUUGGUUCUGGCAUCGAUGAAGAACGCAGCGAAAUGCGAUAAGUAAUGUGAAUUGCAGAAUUCCAGUGAGUCAUCGAAUCUUUGAACGCACAUUGCGCCCACUAGUAUUCUAAUGGGCAUGCCUGUUCGAGCGUCAUUUCAGCCCUCAGGCCCUAACCGGCCUGAUGUUGGGGCAUCUGCGGCUGACCGUAGGCCCUAAAAGAUAGUGGCGGUGUCCGCUAGCACUCCGGGCGCAGUAGAUAUCCUUCUCGCCGAGGAUGUCUUGCGGGCUGCCGGCCGUAAAACACCGUAAUGAUAGAAGGUUG
rnacentral:misc_RNA from 1 species